rnacentral:misc_RNA from 1 species
GAUGAAGAACGCAGCGAAACGCGAUAAGUAAUGUGAAUUGCAGAAUCCAGUGAAUCAUCGAAUCUUUGAACGCACAUUGCGCCCGCCAGCAUUCUGGCGGGCAUGCCUGUUCGAGCGUCAUUUCAACCCUCGACCUCCCCUUGGGGAGGUCGGCGUUGGGGACCGGCAGCACACCGCCGGCCCUGAAAUGGAGUGGCGGCCCGUCCGCGGCGACCUCUGCGCAGUAAUACAGCUCGCACCGGGACCCCGACGCGGCCACGCCGUAAAACACCCAACUUCUGAACGUUGACCUCGAAUCAGGUAGGACUACCCGCUGAACUUAAGCAUAUCAAUAAGCGGGGA